AUUGCGCAAGCUAUGGAGUGAUUGACAGGUGGAGUGACUGCUGGGGUCAUGAACGAAGAAACAAUGAAGUCACUGGACAGCAAAACAGAUUAUUUAUUCCUAAUGUCGUUGCUCUUGCAAAAUUGCAGGCCUAUUGGUUAUGUGGUGGUUAUGUUGGUUUUAUCUUCCGGUUGGUUGUUAGUCCCCUACAAGAGUUGUCAUAAUAUGAAAAGGCUCCAAAAGGUGUCACGGUCAGGAAUCUUUUUCCAGGCAUCCGGUGAUGAUUAGAGAAGAGGGCCACAGUACCAAUUGGGCAGACUUUGUCAAGGCGGCAGGAAUAAAAGAAUAACAUAUACUCAUAAGGAUCUUCGCCUUCAAGAUUGUAAGGGGAAAUUAUUGCUCACUGUCCUGUCCAUACGCUUUAGAAGGAAAUCACAAGUGUAUUUUCUAUACAAAACAAUCAUGUGGUCAUCUAUAUUACGAACUAUUCACACCAGAUUCAUAUGGAAUGGCACUCAUGGCGGUAGUUGAACCAGAGCUAUCUAUCAGUACGCCUAACUAUGGCUUCGUAGUUUUAGCGCAUCCACUGCCACUGUGUUGGAUUUUGCUCUCUAAUAUUCCUACUUGUACUACUGAACUUAAUUUCAACUAAUUAGCUUUUGUAAUAUCAUGGCUGCAUUGAACUUGAUGUUGCCUUACUUCUGCGGCCGGUUAGUUUUUAUAAUCUCAUGACUUUGUUGAA